rnacentral:lncRNA from 1 species
UCCGGUGCACCGCGCCACUUGCAGGCGGUGGCGCCGCCUCGUCACCACCUCACCGGCAACGCGGUGUACAUCUGCCGCUCCAUGCCACCCUCCAGCCACCUCAUCCGCGACCUCGCCGUCGGCUUCUUCCACCAGACCCACGAGGACGACUCGUCUUCCUCGGUCGCGCCGCCUCGUUCGUCCCGUUGCCCUCGGCCUCCUCCAGGUUCGGCGGCGGCGAGCUUGACAGGGCUCGGGCUCUACGCGUGCGCGCUGCUCACCGCCGACGAUCUCCAGGACUCUGCCGAUCCGCUCCCACCGGGUCCCGCUGCCUUCCGCCUGUUGGUCCUCUACAAGCGCCCUUCACGGCGUGCCGGUCCUACUCGUCGGACACCAAGGCCUGGAGCAUCGAGCGCAAGCUAUCCGGCGGGACGGACCUCACCACAGGGGCGGGGCUAG